AGAAAAAGUUGGGAGGACUUGAGAGUUAGAAGUUGUAGAAAGGAGGGUGGACAGCCAAGGCCAGGGACAAUAUGCUAGGUGCAGCUCUCACUUUCACCAGAAUUGAUGGUUGAUUUAACUGGAAGACAUCAAAAAUCAUAAAGUGGUGCAAAAGCAAAUGCUGAGGAUUACAGGAUUGAGAAGUUUAUGAGCUGGUUACCAAAAACAUGCCAUGGACCGCUUGAAUGAAGCUCACAGACUACUGGUGGUCCAGUGGUUGGGAUCCCCUGUUCUAAGGCUUCAGCAGUGGAUGUAAAUGUACAGGGAGAAUCUCUGGGUUGCAAAUCUGGUAACUCUAAAAAUAAAUGGAACAUUUUGCCCGGUUACAUGAUCCUGUCCAGUGCAUAUACCCAAUAUAUGCUUUCAUGACAAAAGCAAAAGCAAACAAACAAAACAACUAAGUGCACAGACAUCUGCAUCGUGGAUUUCUCAGUUUGAGGGUUCAGUGGUAGAAUGGAGACACAUGAUGAAAUGGAAAAAAGGAAGGCUGUAUUAUAAGAGUGCUGCUAUAGCAUAAUGACUGAGAGGCUGAGCUGCAGAGGAUAUCCCCAGUUUGAAUAUUGCCUCUGCCAUGUACUCACUAGCUGACCUUAGGCAAGUCCCUCUCUCUCCUUGCCACAGUCCCCUGAUCUGCAAUAUGGAGGGUAGUACUGACUUGCCGUAAGGACGUAAGAAGAGCCUUGCUGGAUCAGACCAAAGGCCAUCUAGUCAAGCAUCUAGUUUCCAGACCAUCCAUUAUUGCCAUCUCUUUCCUCUAAGGUGUCCUCUUUUCUUUAUGUCUGGAAACUGGUAAAAUUUCAGUAAACUGGAUCCUCAGGGGAGGAUUUGCAGAGUUAGACAUGUUUUUCAUAAAUAAAUAAAUGGGCAAGCCUGAAGCCAUGACGAAAUUAUAAUGGGGCAACUGAAGGAAUUGUACUUGGCAUCAUGCCUGCCAGGAACUCUUUGGCAUGUCUGCUGAGAGGCGACGUUAAGCGGGGUAUGCCUGUAUAUAAAAUAUGAAAACUUUGCAAAGAGGCUUCAGUAUGUUAAAAGUCCAGGUACUGAUUAAGAAUUG